rnacentral:ncRNA from 1 species
UCAAAGAAAAGGCAAACUUAUUGAAAAAUAAGGACGCAAAGCUACAGGUCUAAGGGGGAAGGUGCUAUGAUGGCUGGGCUGCCUAG